AGCGAACGCUGGCGGCAGGCUUAACACAUGCAAGUCGAGCGGGCAUCUUCGGAUGUCAGCGGCAGACGGGUGAGUAACACGUGGGAACGUACCCUUCGGUUCGGAACAACUCUGGGAAACUGGAGCUAAUACCGGAUACGCCCUUAUGGGGAAAGGUUUACUGCCGAAGGAUCGGCCCGCGUCUGAUUAGCUAGUUGGUGGGGUAACGGCCUACCAAGGCGACGAUCAGUAGCUGGUCUGAGAGGAUGAUCAGCCACACUGGGACUGAGACACGGCCCAGACUCCUACGGGAGGCAGCAAUGGGGAAUAUUGGACAAUGGGCGCAAGCCUGAUCCAGCCAUGCCGCGUGAGUGAUGAAGGCCUUAGGGUUGUAAAGCUCUUUUGUCCGGGACGAUAAUGACGGUACCGGAAGAAUAAGCCCCGGCUAACUUCGUG
rnacentral:rRNA from 1 species